rnacentral:rRNA from 1 species
AUUGAACGCUGGCGGCAGGACUAACACAUGCAAGUCGAGCGGAGCGGCGGACGGGUGAGUAAUGCCUAGGAAUCUGACUGGUAGUGGGGGAUAACGUCCGGAAACGGGCGCUAAUACCGCAUACUCUCAGAUGAGCCUAGGACGGAUUAGCUAGUUGGUGGGGUAAAGGCCUACCAAGGCGACGAUCCGUAACUGGUCUGAGAGGAUGAUCAGUCACACUGGAACUGAGACACGGUCCAGACUCCUACGGGAGGCAGCAGUGGGGAAUAUGGGACAAGGGGCGCAAGCCUGAUCCAGCCAUGCCGCGUGUGUGAAGAAGGUCUUCGGAGUGUAAAGCACUUUAAGUUGUGAGGCGUUACCAACAGAAUAAGCACCGGCUAACUUCGUGCCAGCCGCCGCGGUAAUAC